UCCCCAGGCACCGCAGCCUGCUGUACACGUGCAGGGGCAAGAGCCCCUGACCGCCUCCAUGCUGGCUGCAGCACCCCCCAGGAACAGAAGCAGAUGCUGGGAGAAUGUUUGUUCCCACUCAUCCAAACCAUGCAUUCAAACCUGGCUGGAAAGAUCACAGGCAUGCUGCUGGAGAUCGACAAUUCCGAGCUGCUGCACAUGCUGGAGUCCCCCGAGUCCCUCCGCUCUAAGGUGGAUGAGGCAGUGGCCGUUCUGCAGGCUCAUCAC